UACGAAGGGGGCUAGCGUUGCCCGGAAUUAUUGGGCGUAAAGCGCACGUAGGCGGCUUGCUAAGUCGGGGGUGAAAUCCUGGAGCUCAACUCCAGAACUGCCUUCGAUACUGAGAGUCUCGAGUCCGAGAGAGGUGAGUGGAACUGCGAGUGUAGAGGUGAAAUUCGUAGAUAUUCGGAAGAACACCAGUGGCGAAGGCGGCUCACUGGACUGGUAUUGACGCUGAGGUGCGAAAGCGUGGGGAGCAAACAGG
rnacentral:rRNA from 1 species